rnacentral:rRNA from 6 species
GACCUCGGAUCAGGUAGGGAU